rnacentral:rRNA from 1 species
GGCGAACGGGUGAGUAUCACGUGGGCACCUGCCCUCGGCACCGGGAUAGCCCCGGGGAAACCCGGAUUAAUACCGGACAGCCUCCGGAGCCUUCGGGCGCCGGAGAAAAGGUGGCUUCGGCUUCCGGCUGAGGAGGGGCCUGCGGCGGAUUAGCUUGUUGGUGAGGUAACGGCUCACCAAGGCGACGAUCCGUAGCUGGUCUGAGAGGACCAUCAGCCGACAUUGGGACUGAGCCAGGUAACCACUUCAUACGGGAGGCGCAGUGGGGAAUCUUGCGCAAUGGGCGAAAGCCUGACGCAGCGACGCCGCGUGCGGGAAGAAGGCCUUCGGGUUGUAAACCGCUUUCAGGAGGGACGCAAGCCACUCGGGUUAAUAGCCCAGAGGGUGACGGUACCUCCAGAAGAAGCCCCGGCUAACUACGUGCCAGCCGCCGCGG